UAGGGAAUCUUCCACAAUGGGCGAAAGCCUGAUAGAGCAACGCCGCGUGUGUGAUGAAGGGUUUCGGCUCGUAAAACACUGUUGUAAGAGAAGAAUGACAUUGAGAGUAACUGUUCAAUGUGUGACGGUAUCUUACCAGAAAGGAACGGCUAAAUACGCGCCAG
rnacentral:rRNA from 1 species